GCUCCGGUGUCCUAGUGGUUAGAGCGUCCGCCUCGAUUGCGGGAGGUUGUGGGUUUGAUUCGAGACCGACUCGUACCA